rnacentral:lncRNA from 1 species
AGGAAGUUAGGUCCUCUGAAAGAACAGGAAGUGUUCUGACCCACUGAACUCUCUCCAGCUCCAAGUCCCACUUUUUAGAAUAUUAUCUUUGUUGGGUUUUGGUUCUGUGGGUGUUUUGUUUCUGUUUUGUUUUUGAGACAGGGUCUAACUCUGCAGCCCUGGCUGGCCUGAAAUUUGCUAUGUAGACCAGACUGGCCUCAAGUUCAUGGGGAUUCAUCUUCCGCCUCUCAAAGUGCUGGGAUCAAAGGAAUUUGAAUGUAAAUAGAAAUACCUCCCCACACCCCAUGAAGUUUUCUUUGGAAGAUUUAAAAGAGGUUUGUGUUCAUUUAAAAACUGGAUUACUUCUGAAUUAUACUGAAUUAUACUGAAUGACAACCCUUCUAUGAAGUUAGUAAACUUUUUGAAUCUUUUUUCACAUGGAGAUUUGGUUUUAGUAUAUGAUUUGGGGACGUCAAAGCUCUUAAAUACGAAAGGUCUUAACAGUGUGCUGUGGGAGAAUGAGAAACGUGUAAAGCUGCCGAGUUCCCAGCUUGCCUGCCACCUACGUGGAUGUGUCCCCAGGAGAAUCAGCCCACGUGGGAAGUGAGAAAUAAGACCCAUGUCUGCAGCACCUGAGGGGUUAACUACUUGUAGGACCCUUCUUAUCCAGGCUGGCCUGGUCUUUGUUCGUUCACUGUGUUGUCUUUCCCAACAAACAGAGUCAUCUGAUCUUAGCUGUGGCUCACUUAGUCCCUUGUCCUCUGAAAGCUCACCAUGAAAAAUUUCUGUAACCAAGUCUUUUCUUUGGUUGGUUGGUUGUUUUUUGUUUUUUGUUUUUUGUUUUUUUUUUUUUUGAGACAGGGUUUCUCUGUAUAGCCCUGGCUGUCCUGGAACUCACUUUGUAGACCAGGCUGGCCUUGAACUCAGAAAUCCACCUGCCUCUGCCUCCAGAGUGCUGGGACUAAAGGCGUGCGCCACCAUGCCCAGCUCUCUAUAACCAAGUCUUAACUUAUUAAUUACCAUACUAAACAUCCCUUAUAAUGUGUGAUGUCUUCCUUUAGGAGAGAUGGCUUAUGUAGGUAGCUCUUGGCUUGGUCCGUUUCAUAAGAGUCCCUUUAUAAAGAAGUAUGUCAUGGUUUCCAAUGGGGGUAAAACUUAGAAAAACAAAUGAGAAUGUCUUUAGCUAAAGAAGCCAAACACUAGGGCCUGGAGAGAUGGCUCAGCAGUUAAGAGCACUGGCUGCUCUUCCAAAGGGCAAUGGUUCAGUUCCCAGCAUACAUAUGAUACCUCAUACCUGUCUAUACUUCCAGUUUGAGGGGAUUAUCACCCUCAGACAUACAUGCAGGCAGAACACCAAUAUAUAAAAUAGAUAAACUAUUACAAUAAAGCUCUGAGCUUUGGUCACUUCUGACAGUUAAUUUUGUUGGUGCCACAUAUCCAUUUAAUCCAUCCCAGGUAUAAGCACAAUGAAUACAUUUACUUAUUUAGCAGGAUUGGCCCAAGUGACAAAAUCCCCUUUUAAGAUUUAUUUUUAAGCUAGGUGUUUUGAUGGUGCAACAACUUUAAUGCCAGUGCUAGUGAGGCAGAGGCAGGUGGUUCAUUUGAGGCCAGCAUAGUCUAGACAGUGAGUUUGUGAACAGCUAGGUCUACACAGAGAAACCCUAUCUUGAAAAAAAUUUUAAAAGAUUUAUUUUAUUGCAGUGUGUGUGUGUGGGGGGGGGACUUUGGCGCACACACAUGUCACUUUGGGAACUUAUAGAUGUCCCAUGUAUGUGGGUGCCAGCAGAGGCCAGAAAGGGGAGUUUGGAUUCCUCGAAGCGGAAGAUGUAUGCAGUUGUGAGCUGGCAGACCUGGCGCUGGGAACAAAACUCAAAUCCUCUGAAAGAACAGCAAGCACUUGGAAACACUGAGCCAUCUCUCCAGCACCAUGAAUAACUCUUUGUAAUAGAAUUUUUCCUACUGCUGCGAUGGUGGCUUUUCUGGCAGAGGAAGACUUCAAAUCAGUCCAAAAGCAUGCAAACUUAGCAUUGGGAUCUAUUUUAGCUUUAAGUAGGAAAAUUUGGAUAAAAUCUUAUCAUCAGGUAUCAAACAUUUCAUAUAGGAAUGGGAUAGAACAGAACUCUUGUUCUUCAACCCAGUCUUUAAGAAUGGAAAUGUACAGUGUAGUGGAAAGUUGGGCUUUACUUUUGUGGUGGAUUUGACUAGGAAUGGUCCCCAGAGCCUCAUAAAUUUGAAUGCUUGGCCAUUAGGGAGUGGUGCUACUGGACAGGGAUUAGGGGGUGUGGCCUUAUUGGAGGAAGUGGUCAUAGGGGGCGGACUUUGGGGUUUCAAAUAUUCAAGCCAGUACCAGUGUCUUUGCUGCCUGCAGACCCAGAUGAAGAACACACCGCUCCUUCAGCACCACAUCUGCCUGCAAGCUGCCAUGCUUCCUACCUUGAUAAUGGACUGAACCUCUGAACCUGUAAGCCAGUCCUCAUCAAAUGUUGUCCUUUAUAAAAGUUGUCAUGGUCAUGGAGUCUCUUCCUAGCAAUGGAAACUCUAACUGGCUAACUUUAUAUCAAUAUUUUUUUAUUUUGACCUAAGAAAUUGCUUUUUAUAUUUAUUUUGCGAAAGUAUGUCACUGAAUUGAUCAGGCUAUCCUUCAACUUACUCUGUAGCCCAGGCUAACCCUGAAUCAGCCUCAGGAGUAGCUAGGAUUACAGGUGUGUACCACCAGAGGUUUUUUUUUUUUUUUUUUAUGUUGGUCCCACUAUGUAACACAGGAAGUUCUGAAACCCUCUGUAGACCAGGCUGGCUUUGAAUAUAUAAAGAUCUACCUACCUCUGCCUCCUAAGUGCUGGGGUCAUAGCUUUUAUCUUUCACAAAUGUUUGGCUUUCUAAUUUGUCCUCACCUUUUCUCUUAUGGAAGAAAAAUCCUCUAGGACAAGAGGAGUUUAUACUCAGUUUGUGAAAACAUUUUUUUUCUUAAUAAAAUUACUAUAUAUUUUUUGAAAAUCUAUAUCUGAAACAUGGCAAAAACCAUUAACAUGGAUGAGAUUUAUUGGUUUGGGAGAGUGAGUGUCUAGCAUGGAUGAACCCCUCCCUAUAAUCCCUACUGCCGCAUAGACCAGGCUUGGUUCACUUUAGGCAUGCUGUUUGUAGUUCCAGCACUCAGGAGUGCAGACAUAGGUAGAUUAGAAGUCAACAAAUUAGCUGGGCAUGGUGGCGCACACCUUUAAUCCCAGCACUUGGGAGGCGGAGGCAGAGGCAGGCGGAUUUCUGAGUUCGAGGCCAGCCUGGUCUACAGAGUGAGUUCCAGGACAGCCAGNNNNNNNNNNNNNNNNNNNNNCCCCCAACCCCCCCCCCCCCCCCACACACACACACACAAAGAUAAAACAACG